rnacentral:rRNA from 1 species
GACGAACGCUGGCGGCGUGCUUAACACAUGCAAGUCGAACGGAAAGGCCCUGCUUUUGUGGGGUGCUCGAGUGGCGAACGGGUGAGUAACACGUGAGUAACCUGCCCUUGACUUUGGGAUAACUUCAGGAAACUGGGGCUAAUACCGGAUAGGAGCUCCUGCUGCAUGGUGGGGGUUGGAAAGUUUCGGCGGUUGGGGAUGGACUCGCGGCUUAUCAGCUUGUUGGUGGGGUAGUGGCUUACCAAGGCUUUGACGGGUAGCCGGCCUGAGAGGGUGACCGGCCACAUUGGGACUGGGAUACGGCCCAGACUCCUACGGGAGGCAGCGGUGGGGAAUAUUGCACAAGGGGCGGAAGCCUGAGGCAGCAACGCCGCGUGCGGGAUGACGGCCUUCGGGUUGUAAACCGCUUUCGCCUGUGACGAAGCGUGAGUGACGGUAAUGGGUAAAGAAGCACCGGCUAACUACGU